rnacentral:rRNA from 1 species
CUCCAGACUCCUACGGGAGGCAGCAGUGGGGAAUAUUGGGCAAUGGAGGAAACUCUGACCCAGCAAUGCCGCGUGAAUGAAGAAGGUCUUCGGAUUGUAAAGUUCUUUAGUCAGGGAAGAAGUCAAUGACGGUACCUGAAGAAUAAGCUCCGGCUAACUACGUGCCAGCAGCCGCGGUAAUACGUAGGGGGCAAGCGUUAUCCGGAUUUACUGGGUGUAAAGGGGGCGCAGACGGCAAUGCAAGCCAGGAGUGAAAGCCCGGGGCCCAACCCCGGGACUGCUCUUGGAACUGCAUGGCUGGAGUACAGGAGAGGCAGGCGGAAUUCCUAGUGUAGCGGUGAAAUGCGUAGAUAUUAGGAGGAACACCGGUGGCGAAGGCGGCCUGCUGGACUGUGACUGACGUUGAGGCCCGAAGGCGUGGGGAGCAAACAGGAUUAGAUACCCGGGUAU